UGUUACAGAGAUUUCCCUGGGGUGCCAGAGAGUGGUAUGUGGCUGCAACACUAAUCCCAUGCCUUGGUUUCACUACGGACGAAGUAGGGGGCUACGGGACGCAAAAUAUUGUGAAGCGGAAGUCACUGACAGAUGAAGAGCCUUUCCAUCCUGAAAAAGAGAGUCCUCUCACUCAUUCUGUCUUUUGGGAAUUUAUUUGGAAAGAACAUAGGCUUUGGAACCAGAGAGAUGGAAUUUGAAUCUCCCCUCUGCUACUUAGACGUGGGUGACCUUGGGCAAGUUACUUAACCCUUAAUAGCAGGCAUUUCUUCUUCUCUAAUAGUGGUUCUGCGGAUUGAAUGAGGCAGCAGUCUGUCAACAACUAUGGCAUCCAGCUGGUCAGAAAGACUAGAGGAUUUGACAUUUUGCGGCUGUUCUCUAGAACCAAAGAAAUGAGAACCUCUUGGUAAAAUCCGCUGGUCCAGGAGUUAUUAUCUCCUGGAUUAUCUGCCAAAGAAAUUAUCUGCCAAAAUUACAAUGUAAAACUGAAGAAGACAACCGAUAACUCAGUUAAAAUUUUGGAAAAAUACAAAGAAACUGUGACUGGGGAGAAAUGGAUUCUUUCUUUGAUUUUAUAAGCUGACAUGAUUGCUUGUUCUGUUGUGAAUGCACGCUGCUCUGGGCCUCAGUUAACCCAUCACACCUGAGCUCCACGCUGUCCACGGGUGCUUUUUCUGCAGUGUUAACGUCAUCUUCAUGGUCGGUAUCAUCACGAUCACCUUGAUUCAGAACCAUUCUGGCUAUUUCCCCAACAGUCAAUGAAAUGAACAACCGGAGCCUCAUUAUCAAUGUUAAAAAUGACAUUAAUGUGUACUUCUUCCCGCUGACUGAUGAACUCUGAAGGUAUAUUUUUUGGAGGUCAGACAUCCUUUUCUUCUCACUUGACAAGCUGAAUUCUUCUAAACCACCACCUGGUUCAUCAUCAUCACUGAACACAGUCGUAGGCCAGAGGUCACGCCAGGCACGCACAUCUGUGUCUUUAGUCACUGUGUUGCAAGCGUUGGCAACAGCAUGUAUGGCAUCCUUCAUGCUCAGCUCCUGAAAAUCUUCUACACCUACACCUCCGUUCACUGCUGCGAGCGUGCAAUUCAAGACAGUGUUUUUAUAUUUACUUUUCAUUGAUCUAAAGAUACCCUGGUUACAGGCUCAACUAAUGAAGUCACGUUUGGGGGAAAGUACACAGCAUCAAUAUUAUCUUUGAUGAGAAUUUCAGCUGGAGGAUGAGCAGAACAGUAGUCAAGGCAUAAGAAAAUCUUGCUGUCAUCAUCCGGUCCAACUUUUCUGCAGCGAGCACAAGAGGCCUGUACGAAGUGUUUGUAAAACCGAUCAGAAAAGAUGUCCCUGGUGAUCUAUGCCUUUUUGUUAGCAUAAUAAUGGACUGCUUCUGCAGAUGGCCUCCCCUCUCUGCGACUGGUUCCUUAUCGAGGCAAUGGAGAUGUGGACUGCGGUGACUGAUCAAGCCUCACAUAUCUACUGAAUCAGGAAGCCCGAAGGCCUGAGGCCUCCCGAGUGGCCCCAUGGGAGCGUCGUGCAUUUUUCUGGGCCCGAUGACGAUGCUGGCCUGGCGGGGGACUUGGCUGACCCGGCCUCCGCACAGGUGGACUAGUUCACAGAGCUUGGCCACUGGGGGGCUGCUGGCAGGCGAGACAAACAUCGCUGGCUGGUCGGCAAAGAGGGUUCCGCGGUACGGCCCUGCAGACAAGUGGCACUCGCUUCGGCACAGCUGUGGGGCAGACAGAGAUAGAAUUACAGAGGUGGGACCACUCCAGUCUCCAUAGCGUAGGCGAACUGUUGCAGUUUACUUCCUUUUUUAUGAAAAGAAUAGACUGAAUGUAAGGCUGCCAUGCUCCUGUGAAUUUUGAAUUCUGAGAAUCCAGAGAAGAUGAUGACAUUAAUGACAUAAAACUGACGUUUUCUGAAGUAGCCAUGCGUAAAACUCCAAGGAAACAAAUUAGAAAAAAAAAAGUGUAGGCCUUUGAAUUAUUCCAAAGCCUCAAACAAAAUAUUGAAAAGCAACUGUUAGCACAGCAGAGCCAUAGCUAGGCUGAACUCUCACUAAAGUAACUUGGUGACGUGUGCAAGUGACGGCAAGAUUCUAAUGCACUGCAAAUGCCGGCUGUGCUGGGAGAGCGUCAUUCAAUCCAGCGCGCUCCAGGCUGUUGGCAGAAAAGGACUUUUAUAGGAUGUAAGAAAUGCUGUAAAUCCAAUACCAUGGUCUGGACGGGGAAAGGGAGAGUGAGGCAAUGCAAAAGUAGAAUUCCUAGAGCCAUUCCCGAAACACGCUGGGUUUGGGGGAGAGAGGUGUCUCGAGAUUGUUUCAAUGAGCUGUUGGGAAACAUUUCAGAAGCAGGGAUGUGAAGCUGCUCUGCUUCUCAUUCUGGCAAUGUGUGGUCAUCUGUUUGACUCAGAGGACCGCGGGAAGGCCCAGUUAUUCUGAACACGCAUUUUCCUAACUACGGGUUGGUAAAGACUUCUUCAGUGUACACACCCUGCGAGAUGCUAUGGGUUAUGUGCCAUCCACGUUUUGUUUUGCGUAUUUUCCCUGCUUAUUUUUCCUACAAUAUCUGAAAUUAAUGGUUCACACAAAUUAGAGAUUUGAGGGGAUGUAUUUCGGGGAAGGGAUGAAGGGACCUUCUCAGAGGAGUAUAACCUGGGGUGGGGUGACGUCGGGGUCCUCUCAGUCAGGGGCAGCAGGCAAGGCUGACCUCGGAGGCAGGGGUAGGGUGCAGGUUGGGGGAAGAGCAGCAAAGAGUAAAUUCCACAGCCCACAUCACUCACAAAAUCAGAGAAACAGUGAACUAUUCUUCUGCUAGGUUUUCCUACUACUGUAAUAUUUAACAAAAGAGGAUCCUACUGUGAAAAUAUAGCUCCAGCAUCAAUGGAGUAGAUCCGAUACACUUAUAUAUGCUCAUGGAAUUUGCUUGUUCUCUCCCCUUGUGUUGAAUUUUAUAGCAUAAUAAAUACCGAGCCUCAGCAGCUUUCAUGUGCCUUGCAGGAGACAGUGGCAGCAGGGGCAAAUGAUUCUUCCUGGAUGGUGACUUUGUGAGUAUUUUUGGCACUAUAUCCUGCGAGAUAGGCAGUGGAAAGGGCUACUGAUUUAAUUUGCAGACAAAGAGACUGAGCUGAUGCAAGGCAAGAGAUUUGCUUUGGCAAAUGGUGAGUCACACUGCAAGAAAAAGCCAUGGUCCCUAGCAUCACGGGGCCAAGCUGCAUGGAAAUGGAAUCAAGAAAGAGUAUCUUUCAUUUUAAAGUAGGACACACAUACAUUCAAAAAGUUAAUUAUGAAAGUAUCUGGCCGGGCACGGUGGCUCACACCUGUAAUCCCAGCACUUUGCGAGGCUGAGGCGGGCAGGUCACAAGGUCAGGAGAUCAAGAUCAUCCUGGCUAACAUGGUGAAACCCUGUCUCUACUAAAAAUACAAAAGAUUAGCCAGGCGUGGUGGUGGGCACCUGUAGUCCCAGCUACUCGGGAGGCUGAGGCAGGAGAAUGGUGUGAACCCGGGAGGUGGAGCUUGCAGUGAGCUGAGAUUGUGCCACUGCACUCCAGCCUGGGCAAUAAGAGCAACACUCUAUCUAAAGAAAAAAAAGGCUGGGCGCAGUGGCUCACGCCUGUA
ensembl:lncRNA MCPH1-AS1 MCPH1 antisense RNA 1